rnacentral:misc_RNA from 1 species
GGAGAAAUAACUGCAGGUUUGAUGGGUUACUUGUAGUCUUUUUCCAAACAAUUUUUAUGCUUUUGCUUUGUCUCUGUCAUAGUUCAAUAUAUUUUGCUGUUCAAGCAUUGAUGACUUUUGAAUUGGAUGCCAUUUUUAUUUCCUUUUGAAACUUCCAGGACCUUCUAGGUCCAGGAGAUUUGGAACUGCUUCACUUGUAUGAUGCAUCUUUGAAGUUGAAUUAUAGGGAACAUUCAGUGAAUUGUUUGUAAGAUUAGUUCCAAUAUGGAGAGUCCAUCACCUUAGCUUUGAGGAACUUAAUU